rnacentral:rRNA from 1 species
AGAGUUUGAUCCUGGCUCAGCGCGAACGCUGGCGGCGUGCCUAACACAUGCAAGUCGUGCGCAGGGUCGGCCCCUUUUGGGGCCGGCCGCUGAGCGGCAAACGGGUGAGUAACACGUGGGUAACCUACCCCCAGGAGGGGGAUAACCCCGGGAAACCGGGGCUAAUACCCCAUAAUGCCACCCGCCACUAAGGCGCGGUGGCCAAAGGGGGCCUCUGGCCUUCGGCCACGCUCCCGCCUGGGGAUGGGCCCGCGGCCCAUCAGGUAGUUGGUGGGGUAACGGCCCACCAAGCCUAUGACGGGUAGCCGGCCUGAGAGGGUGGCCGGCCACAGCGGGACUGAGACACGGCCCGCACCCCUACGGGGGGCAGCAGUGGGGAAUCGUGGGCAAUGGGCGAAAGCCUGACCCCGCGACGCCGCGUGGGGGAUGAAGCCCUGCGGGGUGUAAACCCCUGUCGGGGGGGACGAUGCGGACUCGGGUUAAUAGCCCGUGUCCGUGACGGUACCCCGGCCGGAA